GGAAUAUUGGACAAUGGGCGAAAGCCUGAUCCAGCAACGCCGCGUGAGGGAUGACGGCCUUCGGGUUGUAAACCUCUUUCAGCGCCGACGAAGCGAAAGUGACGGUAGGCGCAGAAGCAGCACCGGCCAAAUACGUGCCAGCAGCCGCGGUAAUACGUAGGGUGCGAGCGUUGUCCGGAAUUAUUGGGCGUAAAGGGCUCGUAGGCGGUCGGUCGCGUCGGGAGUGAAAACUCAGGGCUUAACCCUGAGCCUGCUUCCGAUACGGGCAGACUAGAGGUAUGCAGGGGAGAAUGGAAUUCCUGGUGUAGCGGUGAAAUGCGCAGAUAUCAGGAGGAACACCAGUGGCGAAGGCGGUUCUCUGGGCAUUACCUGACGCUGAGGAGCGAAAGUGUGGGGAGCGAAC
rnacentral:rRNA from 1 species